ACCGUGUUGCUCCCCUUGCUGGCCACCACGGGCCGUGCUGGAGGCCGUGGUGGAUACGGAAACCGUGCUCAAACUGUUGUUUUGAAGACCAAGUUUUGAUGGUUGGUCAUGGCCAGAGUCUAGGCCGUGAUGGUCAGCACGGCCUUGACUCAGGCCGUGCUCAAUGUGUGCAACGCGGGCUCUUGUCCGAUCUUGAUGAAUUCUCGUUCGUUUCCGCACGUAUUGAUCUAUAAUUGCUUAAACACCGAUGAUGGUCCUAUAAAUGUUCCUGAAAUACAAAAGAACAUAAAACACGGGUGAUCUGGGGAUAAAAG
rnacentral:lncRNA from 1 species